rnacentral:misc_RNA from 1 species
GCAUGCUUAGUCUCCAUAACCGUUCUCUCCAAUUUAUUCAUCCACCCCAUCCCUUUAAUUCGAUUCAAAAUUUUAGUAAAUCAUGGUUUUCCUACGAAUUGGCAAAGGAUGUGACACCCACCAAAAUCCCAAUACAAUCAUCAAAUGUCUCCAAAGGAACAGGGCCAAGCCGACAUUAUCAUGCGAAUGCGGAGUAAAAUUCCGCCAGGCCACAUUGCCUAGGUUUGGUGGGAUGGGAGGCUUCUCUUCCACCGGAACGCGUCAUUUACUAAAGCAUUAGAAAACGGGUGGAGAGCUGCUGUGAGGACAUUAUGGAGAAGCACUAUGGCCCACCGUAUCAUAACGACACCCUAACAAAAGUGGGGUACCUAACCCUCAAAUUGGUUGACACACUUGGCUCAUCAACACAUCAACUCUGUGAGUCAUAUUUAUGUUGACACGUUUCAUCCAGUCUGUCGCCUAACUUUACAGAAGAUUUACGAAGCCAGGGCUUUUGAGAACCAACCUGGGAAAUAGCCCUCGUAAACACUAUUGGGAACUAGGGAGGAAAG